GGUCCCGUAGCUCAGUUGGUUAGAGCGUCGUACUAAUAUCUCCUGUAUAGGAUAUAUCAUGUAAUGCGAAGGUCGCGGGUUCGACCCCCUCCGGGACCA
rnacentral:tRNA from 1 species